UAAUAAGUGUUUAUGGCACUUUUUAAAUCCAUAUCCACCUUGUGUGCAAUGUCAGUCGAUCUUCUUCAUGGAGAUCGACCAAACAUCAACCUUUAUCCUUUAACUCUUUGUCUGAAAACUAUUAUGAAUAAACAAUUCAAAUA
rnacentral:misc_RNA from 1 species